GUGAGCAGGCUGCUGCUGCCAGGGCCUGGAUCUGUACCAGCUACCGUGCCUUCCCCACCGUGAUGGGCUGUGUCUCUUUAACCUAAACCAAAAUAAAUCCUUCCUCCCUAAGCCGCUUCCUAUUACAACAGUAGGAAAAGUGACUAAUACAAUUGGCAUGGCCGUAAGUUAUAAAAUGUCUGCCUCUCUCUUCCAGCUCACCUGAGACAUCACAGGGCCCACUCGGUAAUUCCCAGACACACCACGGCACAGCCUGAGAGGGAGGGGCAAGUGGAGAUACCACUAUGAAGCCAACCAGGAAUGACAGGUUUCUUUCUCAAAUACUUUUCUGUCCAGUUGGAAGAUGCUUCUGAACACUCUGCUGAACACAUGUAGCAGGUGGCUAAGUAGCCAUGAGCAGCCUGGAGUGAGCAUCGGAUGCCAUGGUGUCCCCAUCCUCCAUCCACGGGUCUCCAUGUUUGAGUAUUUGGCACCUAUCUGCUGAUGCUGCUUUCAGAAACCUCUGGAGGUAUGAACAAGCCACCUGGUGGCCCUGCCACCAUGGAGCCAGCAGCGUCCACCUCUGUGCCGUUCUCACCAUGAUGAAUUGCAACCUUUCAAACCUAGAGCCGAAACAAAGCGUCCCUCCCUUAAAUUGCUUCUUGGCCACAGCAGUGACAAAUAAUACAGUUCUCAACAGGUUGCUGUGACUACAGAAGCUAGCUGCAAGUUCAGAGCGUCCCCAGGUCACCUGCACUUCGACUGGCUGUGAAUUUGGGCAGGUCUUCUGACCCCUCUUGGCUUUCAUCGCACACUUGACCAGGCCACACUCAGCUCAGGGAAACACUUUAAUCUAUUACUGACAUGGGGAGAUUACAGAGGAACACAAGCUAGGACAUGUAUGUAUUGGGAUUUUUUGCACCUUCAGAGAAAG
rnacentral:lncRNA from 1 species